GAUGAACGCUGGCGGCGUGCUUAACACAUGCAAGUCGAACGAAGCACCUUGAUUUGAUUCUUCGGAUGAAGAUCUUGGUGACUGAGUGGCGGACGGGUGAGUAACGCGUGGGUAACCUGCCUCAUACAGGGGGAUAACAGUUAGAAAUGACUGCUAAUACCGCAUAAGACCACAGCACCGCAUGGUGCAGGGGCAAAAACUCCGGUGGUAUGAGAUGGACCCGCGUCUGAUUAGGUAGUUGGUGGGGUAACGGCCUACCAAGCCGACGAUCAGUAGCCGACCUGAGAGGGUGACCGGCCACAUUGGGACUGAGACACGGCCCAAACUCCUACGGGAGGCAGCAGUGGGGAAUAUUGCACAAUGGGGGAAACCCUGAUGCAGCGACGCCGCGUGAGCGAUGAAGUAUUUCGGUAUGUAAAGCUCUAUCAGCAGGGAAGAAAAUGACGGU
rnacentral:rRNA from 1 species